rnacentral:lncRNA from 1 species
AAGACCACCGGAGUUCCGGCGACUCCGUCAUCGGACCACAACUUCAUGUCGCGGUGAACCGUGAUUUUAUUGAAGCUGCUGGAAGAACCCACCGGAUCUCCAAAAAACUGUCGUCUCCGGCGACGGUUAAGCAGCCGGAGAUCGGCGUCGUCGCUGCCGGUAAAUGUGCCGAACUGACAUCGUUGAUGAUGAUGAGGAGGAUGAUUGUAGCGUCGGUUAACCGGGGAGUUGAAUCGCCGGGGGAAGAUUUUCGGGUAAGAGAUUGUUAUGCGUGACGGUAGGAACCGUGGCCGGUGAUGUUGGAGAUAUUGUUACGUCGUCGUUUCAGAAAGUGAUUCUGCCGUUUGAUUUGAAUGUUCCGGCAACGGUGGAAGACACGUGCGGUUUUCCGGUGGACGAUGGGGGAUAAUAGUUUUUGAAACAACACAGAGACUAAGGAAAAAAAAGUGAUUUGGAUAUUGUGUAUUCGAUUCUUAAAUACGUUAAAGGAUGUUGAUGAUGUACCCGGAUUUGAUGUACCCGGAUUUGAUGAACGACAAUAAUCUGAAUCCAAAAGUGAUGUUGAUGAAUUCCUAAUGUUGAAGAUCGCCGGUAAUUUUUUUCGUGAAGAGUCAAUUCGCGCUGACAACGUGAUAAAAACCAAGGAGAAAUAGAGAUAAACUUGAUUCAAUUCUUCACAAUAUUCAACAUUACAAUAUAUAGAGAUAAACAUAGCUGGAAACCCUAAAGCCCAUAAGUAAUGGGUUGGGCGUAAAAGGUCUGGUUUAUAACAUCUUUGUAUUUUAUUACUUAUUUAUAUAAUCUUAUAACAGAAUAACAGCAU